UCGCCGCUGGGCGCUGCCGUGCUGCCCGCCUGUGCAGUGCGCACGGCCGCACGGGGUCAGGGGCCAAGGGCCAAGGCCGGCAGGCCCAGGGAGGUAGGCAGGGGAGCGACAGAGGCACAGAGCCAUAUACAGGAGAUCAUAGAGCUUUGCAAAUUGCAAAAUGAAGAAGAAGAAGCCGAUUGAUUUGAGAACUUUGUGGGAAAGAAAGGCAAAGGCACAGAAGGUGGGCUCGACAUCAACACCACAGCCAGUUACGAAUGAGAGUGAAGCUCAUAAUCCAGAUGCUCCUGUUGUUGAGGCAGUCACAAUUGAAAGUCAUGUUCAGAUUCAAAAUCGAAGUACUCCUUCUGUUGAGCCUGACAUAGCAACCAAUGAGAUAGAAAGAGAGGUAACAGAACUAGAUAUUGCUAGCAAUGACCCUACAAUAGCAAGCACAACAAUGACAGAGCACCAUGGAGAACCUUUAUCUUGGUUCCCAAUCAGAGAUGGUG